AUUGAACGCUGGCGGCAUGCCUUACACAUGCAAGUCGAACGGCAGCACGGGAGCAAUCCUGGUGGCGAGUGGCGAACGGGUGAGUAAAGUAUCGGAACGUGCCCAGUCGUGGGGGAUAACGUAGCGAAAGUUACGCUAAUACCGCAUACGAUCUAUGGAUGAAAGCGGGGGAUCGCAAGACCUCGCGCGAUUGGAGCGGCCGAUAUCAGAUUAGGUAGUUGGUGGGGUAAAGGCUCACCAAGCCGACGAUCUGUAGCUGGUCUGAGAGGACGACCAGCCACACUGGGACUGAGACACGGCCCAGACUCCUACGGGAGGCAGCAGUGGGGAAUUUUGGGCAAUGGGCGCAAGCCUGAUCCAGCCAUGCCGCGUGCAGGAUGAAGGCCUUCGGGUUGUAAACUGCUUUUGUACGGAACGAAAAGGUUUGGCCUAAUAAGCUGAGCUCAUGACGGUACCGUAAGAAUAAGGACCGGCUAACUACGUGCCAGCCGCCGCAGUAA
rnacentral:rRNA from 1 species